GACGAACGCUGGCGGCGUGCCUAACACAUGCAAGUCGAACGGAGUGUUUAUUUAUAAACACUUAGUGGCGAACGGGUGAGUAACGCGUAGACAACCUACCCUCUAGAUGGGGACAACACCGCGAAAGUGGUGCUAAUACCGAAUGUUGUAAUGUUAUUGCAUAAUGAUAUUACUAAAGGUGGCCUCUAUAUAAAAGCUACCGCUAGAAGAUGGGUCUGCGUCUGAUUAGCUAGUUGGUGAGAUAACAGCUCACCAAGGCAAUGAUCGGUAGCCGGGCUGAGAGGAUGAACAGCCACACUGGGACUGUGACACCGCCCAGACUCCUACGGGAGGCAGCAGUGGGGAAUCUUCCGCAAUGGACGAAAGUCUGACGGAGCAACGCCGCGUGAGUGAAGAAUGUUUUCGGAUCGUAAAGCUCUGUCUUCAAGGACGAAUGUAGAUAUUGUGAAUAAGGAAUUGUAAUGACGGUAUUAAACGAGAAAGCCACGGCUAACUACGUGCCAGCCGCCGCGGUAA
rnacentral:rRNA from 1 species